rnacentral:rRNA from 1 species
GGGGGGGGGGGGGGGGGGGGGGGGGGGGGGGGGGGCGGAGGGAAAGGCCCCGUUGGGGGUACGCGAGUGGCGAACGGGGGAGUAACACGUGAGUAACCUGCCCUUGACUUCGGGAUAACUUCAGGAAACUGGGGCUAAUACCGGAUAGGAAUCCUUGCUGCAUGGUGGGGGUUGGAAAGCUUCGGCGGUUUUGGAUGGACUCGCGGCUUAUCAGCUUGUUGGUGGGGUAGUGGCUUACCAAGGCUUUGACGGGUAGCCGGCCUGAGAGGGCGACCGGCCACAUUGGGACUGAGAUACGGCCCAGACUCCUACGGGAGGCAGCAGUGGGGAAUAUUGCACAAUGGGCGGAAGCCUGAUGCAGCAACGCCGCGUGCGGGAUGACGGCCUUCGGGUUGUAAACCGCUUUCAGCAGGGGCGAAGCUUGUGGUGACGGUACCUGCAGAAGAAGCACCGGCUAACUACGUG